rnacentral:lncRNA from 1 species
AUUUGAGCAAACAAGUAUCCAUGUUAAUAGCCAUUUCCCAUGUUAGGAAGUUUCUAUAAUAGUGAUGUUUACUGAUUUCUCUUCUGAAGUAAUCCAGUCCUUUCAUUUUAUUUUUCUAGGUGGAGACGGUACCUGCUCUGCGGCAAGACUUUGCAGCCAAGAAUGGUGACAUCUCAGGGCCAGAUGGAGAAGUGGGGAACAGAGCCCGAUUUGUAGUUCAGAAGAUGCAAUCUUGAACUGGAAAUGGGGAGAGAGAAGUUUGCUCCUUGAUGCUCAAGCAAUUUUUUGAAACUUUUGGUUUUCUUUCUUCAGUGACUAAGAUGCUGAAGCAAUCCAUGGGACAAAAUACCAGAACUGAUUGUUACUUUCUUCUGGCACUUGUGCAUCAACAGUUGUUACAAGUUCCCACUCAGAAGACUUAGAUGUUUACUGAUGGAGAUGUGCUCAUGCAGACAGAUUUCUGUAGGACCUCGUGAGGAUGUGGGAUAGGCUGCAGGGAGACUCCCACCCAGCCAGGUCAGUCCAUAAACCAGAUGGUAUUUCCUACUGCAUGGGGACAGCAGCUAGAAGAUAAAGCAGAAAGAAAACAGAUCAUGUUGUAUUUUCUGUUGUUGAAAUAAUAUCAACCAGGUUUGUGUAUAUAAACUAUUUCUAUGCUUUGGGAGACAUUUUCUGUUGGUAUUCCAGAACUUUAAAAUGAUAUUUAAUGGAUAGUUUGACAUCUGCGUGUGAUAUCUUUAUCUUGUGAGUAUAGACUUUACAUGGUGCUUGAUAAGCUCAUCUAGGCUCCCUUUUCCUAUGAAUUAUUAGAUCUGAUGACCUUAAAAAGUCCCUUCCAAUCUGGGCUGUUCUGUAAUUCACUGAGUCUAAACUUAUUCAUGCAAUUGGACAAAACAUAGCCUGAUAGCCAGAAGUUAAAAAAAAAUAGCAUUUGGGCUGAUUGCACACAUCAGCAGAGAUAGUGAAGAAGAAUGGUAAUGUUUUUUUGUAUUUAUUCCCUACAGGUAGGGCCUGCUGGCUACAGGAAGUGCAAGGACAGAAGGUCCAGUGACACUGAAUGGUACAAAGCCAACAUGAAAAAUCAUCAACCAGAAAUACUUACAUUAGUAGAUAUACUCCGUGAAAUGUACGUGUAAAGAUACAAAAUAAAUAGGAUAAGAAUGAGCUAGGAAGGCA